UGUAUGUCUAUAUUUAAAUGUAUAAACACACAUAUUUUAGUUAGUAUUCAAUGUCAAUAAUUCACCUUUCUAAGCUGUGAGGUAUUCUUUAAGCAGACCACAAUUUUGAUGGUAAAUGCCUGCUCAUAAGCAUACUGCAGGAACCAAAACUUCGUCAACUGCUGGAGCACAGACUUCCAAAGGAGGCAGCACAGAAAUGAGAGGUUUGCAACUCAUUUGCAGAACUGAGAACUUGCAGGCAAGUUGCUCUCACUGCAGCAAAUUUUGGUGCCAUUUGGGCUGGGUCAGGUGUUACACUUAGGACAGGGCUCUGCAGGUACGUGAUGUCUGCAGCCUGUGUGGCUGCUUUCUGCAGUGUCCCCACCUGUGCCCUGGCCACUCAUUGGCUCUGACCAUCUCCCACCUUGCUGCUUUCCCUUCUCCAGCACACAGUGCUGCUCUCACAGGGAAGCACUUUGCCUCCCUCUGACCAGGGAAGGACAUGCGGCCUUCAUAUCUUCUAAGAGUCGCAUCCUUUUGGUGUAACAAAAUCUGCCUGGUGCUAGCAAAGCAGUGUAGAGGCAGGAGCAUCAGUUGCCAGUCACACAAACUGGUGGUGUAUAUUACCAAGGAAGUACGGCUGGCUUUUACCCAAAUCCGUAUUUGUGGAAGAAAAAAUGCCUGUGCGUUCCUUUUGUGGCAGAAAUGAAAACCAAGAUCAAUGACUUACUCUUCUUAAGUCUUACGUGCAAGGUAAAACUAAUCUUUCACUCUGUGAUAAUGUCAAAUAGAGAGAAAUAUACACCUAGUGAGGUCAUGGUCAGUUCAGGAAAAAUACGUUAAAGAAUAAAUCGCCUGCAUUUUCUCUGUGUGUGGUGGGA
rnacentral:lncRNA from 1 species